GGGUGUGAUCAUACCAGCACUAAUCACCG
rnacentral:rRNA from 1 species